GUCUGGGUGGCGCAGUGGUCAGCGUAUCUGCCUACUAAGCACGAGACUCGGGUUCGAAUCCCGGUCUGGCACA